rnacentral:rRNA from 1 species
UGGGAGAUGCGGCGUGGAGGCCGCGGGAAGAGGUGGGUUGCAAGACUUAUGCGGAAAUACUGGGCGGAAAGCGGACGCAGGCGGGGCAUUAGGUAUGGCGUGAAAUCUCCCGGCUUAACUGGGAGGGGUCGUUGGAAACUGAUGUGCUUGAGGCGGUGAGAGGGGUGUAGAAUUCCCGGUGUAGUGGUGGAAUGCGUAGAUAUCGGGAGGAAUACCAGUGGCGAAAGCGGCACCCUGGCACUGGCCUGACGCUCAUGUGCGAAGGCGUGGGGAGCGAACGGGAUUAGAUACCCUGUAGUC